rnacentral:rRNA from 1 species
UCGUGAACUUAUCACCCUUUGAGGUAAAGAAGUCAAAUUGGCAGGCUGCCGUCUUUGUGAUGGAUGUAGUCUGUUGCGGGUCAAACCGCCUUUACUUUGAAGCGGUCUAUCAUCACUACUUAAACUUACUAAACCCUUUAACUUCUUAUGAACUGACUUGUUGUUUAUUGGGCUUCGGCUCAACGUAACAAUCUUUACGAAAAUUACGAACAACUCUUAACAACGGAUAUCUUGGUUCUCGUACCGAUGAAGAACGCAGCGAAAUGCGAUACGUAAUGCGAAUUGCAGAAUUCAGUGAAUCAUCAAAUCUUUGAACGCAAAUUGCGCUUUCGGGAUAGGCCUGGAAGCACGCCUCUUUGAGUAUCGAUUCCACCACAUUCACUAGUAUGCUUUGCAUAUUAGCGGAAACUGAGCCUUCAUUGUCGAAAGUCAAUGUGGCUUUAAAAGUGUUAAGUUCUGGCAGCCUUGUGAAGUCUGGCUUUAUGUCAGAUAGCUUUCGCUCAAAGGCAAGUUCAGUGUCGCUAGUGACGUGGAUAAUUUCGUCUCGUACGAAUCUUCCAAACGUGACUAGAGGAUGUUGAUGGCCUUUGUCGCUGGAAGUGAACGCACAGGCGCCAAUUUAAGAGCGAAUUCGAAGGUCUGAAAUGGCUUUCAACAUCUUGAAUUAGAUCUCAAAUGAAGCGAGAAAACCCGCUGAACUUAAGCAUAUCAA